rnacentral:rRNA from 1 species
UGUCCUGGACCCGAAGCGGGAUGAUCUAGCCCUGGGCAGGUUGAAGCGCGGGUAAGACCGCGUGGAGGACCGAACCCACCUGGGUUGAAAACCGGGGGGAUGACCUGGGGCUAGGGGUGAAAGGCCAAUCAAAUUCCGUGAUAGCUGGUUCUCUCCGAAAUGCAUUUAGGUGCAGCGUCGGUCGAUUGCGUCGCGGGGGUAGAGCUACCGGAUGCUUGCGGGCCCUUGUUGGGUACCAACAGCAGCCGAACUCCGAAUACCGUUGACGUGUAUUCCGGCAGUGAGUCGGCGGGGGAUAAGCUCCGUCGUCGAGAGGGAGACAGCCCAGACCGUCGUCUAAGGUCCCGAAGCGUGUGCUAAGUGGGAAAGGAUGUGGAGUCGCAUAGACAGCCAGGAGGUUGGCUCAGAAGCAGCCAUCCUUGAAAGAGUGCGUAACAGCUCACUGGUCUAGUGGUUCCGCGCCGACAAUGUAGCGGGGCUCAAGCACACCACCGAAGACGCGGCAGCAAUCUUCAUGGUUGCUGGGUAGGAGAGCGUCCUGCGAGGGGCGAAGCGGCCGGGUAACCGUGCCGUGGACUUCGUGGGAGUGAGAAUGCAGACAUGAGUAGCGAGAGACGGGUGAGGAUCCCGUCCGCUGGAUGACCAAGGGUUCCGGGGCCACGUUCGUCGUCCCCGGGUGAGUCGGGUCCUAAGGCGAGGCCGACAGGCGUAGUCGAAUGGAUGAACGGGUGGAUAUUCCCGUACCGACCAUGGACCGGCAAAACCGAGACGGUGAGUACUAACCUCCGCCUCGUGGUGGUUCCUUCCUUCGGGUUGGUAUCGCCGCGUGGUGUUGGGACUGUAGCCGCAGUAGGUCAGCGCAGGGGUGACACGGAAUGGGAGCCGGCCGCGGAGGUGGUUUUCCGUGGUCAAGCACGCAGCCAGUCAUGUAGGCAAAUCCGCAUGGCGCGCAUGGCGAGGUGUGAUGAUGGGAGCCGUUAUGGCUCGAUAUCCGGUUGUCCAGGCCGUCGAGAAAAGCCUCGGCGUGAGGGCCAUGGCCGCCCGUACCCCAAACCGACACUGGUGGUCAGGUAGAGAAUACCAAGGCGAUCGAGCGAAUCCUGGUCAAGGAACUCGGCAAAUCACUCCCGUGCCUUCGGUAUAAGGGAGACCCGCUGGGGUGAACCGGCUAGCCCGGGGAGCUUUGGUGGGUGGCACAGACCAGGGGGUAGCGACUGUUUACCAAAAACACAGGUGCAUGCGAAGGCGAAAGCCGCUGUAUAUGCACUGACGCCUGCCCGGUGCCGGAAGGUUAAGAGGAUCCGUCAAUCCCUUCGGGAUGAAGCGGUGAAUUCAAGCCCCGGUAAACGGCGGUGGUAACUAUAACCAUCCUAAGGUAGCGAAAUUCCUUGUCGGGUAAGUUCCGACCUGCACGAAUGGCGUAACGACUUCCCCACUGUCUCGACCAGGAGCUCGGCGAAAUUGCAGUACGAGUAAAGAUGCUCGUUAAGCGCAGAAGGACGAAAAGACCCCGGGACCUUUACUAUACCUUGGUAUUGGCGUUAGGCGCGGAUUGUGUAGCAUAGGCGGGAGGCUUCGAAGCGGGUGCGCCAGCAUUCGUGGAGCCGCAAGGUGAAAUACCGCUCUGUUCUCGUUUGACGUCUAACCUCGACAAGUCAUCCUUGUCAGGGACAGUGCCUGGCGGGUAGUUCAACUGGGGCGGUUGCCUCCCAAAGAGUAACGGAGGCGCUCAAAGGUCCGCUCAGCCCGGUUGGCAAUCGGGUGUCGAGUGUAAUCGCACAAGCGGGCUUGACUGCGAGGACGACGGUCCGAGCAGGGACGAAAGUCGGAGAUAGUGAUCCGGUGCCGGCGCACGGGCGCGGCAUCGCUCAACGGAUAAAAGGUACCCCGGGGAUAACAGGCUGAUCAUUCCCAAGAGUCCAUAUCGACGGGAUGGUUUGGCACCUCGAUGUCGGCUCGUCGCAUCCUGGGGCUGGAGCAGGUCCCAAGGGUUCGGCUGUUCGCCGAUUAAAGCGGCACGCGAGCUGGGUUCAGAACGUCGUGAGACAGUUUGGUCUCUAUCCUCUGCGCUCGUUGGAAUCCUGAGGAGGCCUGCCCAUAGUACGAGAGGACCUGGGUGGACGAACCUCUGGUAUGCCGGUUGUCGCGCCAGCGGCACGGCCGGUUGGCUACGUUCGG